UACGGGGGGGGCAAGCGUUGUUCGGAAUUACUGGGCGUAAAGGGCGUGAAGGCGGCCAACUAAGUCAGACGUGAAAUCCCUCGGCUUAACCGGGGAACUGCGUCUGAUACUGGAUGGCUUGAAUCCGGGAGAGGGAUGCGGAAUUCCAGGUGUAGCGGUGAAAUGCGUAGAUAUCUGGAGGAACACCGGUGGCGAAGGCGGCAUCCUGGACCGGCAUUGACGCUGAGGAGCGAAAGCCAGGGGAGCAAACGGG
rnacentral:rRNA from 1 species